rnacentral:rRNA from 1 species
AUUGCCUCAGUAACGGCGAGUGAAGCGGCAACAGCUCAAAUUUGAAAUCUGGCGCCUCCGGCGUCCGAGUUGUAAUUUGUAGAGGAUGCUAUUGGGUUGCCACCGGUCUAAGUUCCUUGGAACAGGACGUCACAGAGGGUGAGAAUCCCGUAUGUGACCGGCCAGGCGCUCUCUGUAUAGCUCCUUCGACGAGUCGGGUUGUUUGGGAAUGCAGCCCUAAAUGGGAGGUAAAUUUCUUCUAAAGCUAAAUACCGGCCAGAGACCGAUAGCGCACAAGUAGAGUGAUCGAAAGAUGAAAAGCACUUUGGAAAGAGAGUUAAAAAGCACGUGAAAUUGUUGAAAGGGAAGCGCUUGCAAUCAGUCUCGACGGCGGCUGUUCGGCCCCUCUUCUGAGUGGUUUAUUCAGUCGCCGCCGGGCCAGCAUCAGUUUUGGCGGCCGGAUAAAGGCGCGGGGAAUGUAGCUCCCUCGGGAGUGUUAUAGCCCCGCGUGCAAUACGGCCCGCCGGGACUGAGGUCCGCGCUUCGGCUAGGAUGCUGGCGAAAUGGUUGUAAGCGGCCCGUCUUGAAACACGGACCAAGGAGUCUAACAUCUACGCGAGUGUUUGGGUGUCAAACCCGUGCGCGCAAUGAAAGUGAACGGAGGUGGGAACCGCAAGGUGCACCAUCGACCGAUCCUGAUGUCUUCGGAUGGAUUUGAGUAAGAGCGUAGCUGUUGGGACCCGAAAGAUGGUGAACUAUGCCUGAAUAGGGUGAAGCCAGAGGAACUCUGGUGGAGGCUCGCAGCGGUUCUGACGUGCAAAUCGAUCGUCAAAUUUGGGUAUA